UAACUGCGCAUGUCAUGAACUCGGGUUCUAAUAGAUUCUUUUGUCUUUUAACGGUUGAGAUUUCCGUCGGACCUCCGGAAGUAAACUGGUGACAAUGCGGCUUUAAGAGGCAGCUUAUCUAAGAUUUUAGUUAUUUCAAGUUUUCUUAUCAAGACAUUAGGAAAAAACAAAACAAAAUAUAGGCCACACAAGGAUCAAAGUUUAAAAUAAAUACAAAAUAUCCUUUUUCUGAUGCACAUCCAUAAAUAAAAUUCUGAUAAUUGCGGGCCUGCCACUAUAUACAAACAAUGAAAUUAAAAGACAGGUGUUGAUCCGAUCUUCUUAUUUAUCACGAUGGUAUGAGGUUGUGAUACAGGCAUAGAGAAGAGGACGCAAAAGACGGCCAAAGUAGAAUCAUUAAAAAAAACACAUACAUCCCUGUUUAGUGCGCAUGUCAUAAACGUCACGCUUGUGACUAGUCAACCAGGAUUAAUAGAAUUCGAUUAACCCACAUGGCCUAGAUUGAUGAAAAAAACCAUUCGCUCUCCGCUUGAUCAUUUCUGUAGAUGCAUGAUGGUCAUUGACUUUUAAAUUUCUCCAGAAACCGGUGGGCCUGCCUUAAACAGCGGGCCUGCCAACGAUGUAGCCAAUAAAAUUAAUAGACUAAUGCUGAUCCGAUCUUCGUAAUAUUUACCACAAUAGUAUGAUACCAUGGUACACAAUAAUUAAGAAGGGGACAUGAAUACUCAAAAUACUUAUACGGCUUAAGCAGGAUCAUGUUAAAAACAUCCCUGUUCAAUGCGCAUGUCAUGACGUCACGCUUGUGACUAGUUAACCUUGAUUAAUAGAAUUCGAUUUACCCACAUGGCCUAGAUCGAUGAAAUAAACCAUUUGCUCUCUGCUUCGCCAUUCUAGUUAGAUGCAUGAUGGUCAUUGACUUUUAAAUUUCUCCAGAAACCGGUGGGCCUGCCCUGAACGGCGGGCCUGCCACCAUAUAUCGA